CGGCAGGCUUAAUACAUGCAAGUCGAGGGGCAGCACAGGUAGCAAUACUGGGUGGCGACCGGCAAACGGGUGCGGAACACGUACGCAACCUUCCCAUAACUGGUGAAUAGCCUUCCGAAAGGGAGAUUAAUACACCGUAACAUAUAGAUGUGGCAUCACAUUUAUAUUAUAGCUUCGGCGGUUUUGGAUGGGCGUGCGCCUGAUUAGGUAGUUGGCGGGGUAACGGCCCACCAAGCCUUCGAUCAGUAACUGGUGUGAGAGCACGACCAGUCACACGGGCACUGAGACACGGGCCCGACUCCUACGGGAGGCAGCAGUAAGGAAUAUUGGUCAAUGGACGCAAGUCUGAACCAGCCAUGCCGCGUGAAGGAUGAAGGCCCUCUGGGUUGUAAACUUCUUUUAUCUGGGACGAAAAACGGACUUUCUAGUUCACUUGACGGUACCAGAGGAAUAAGCACCGGCUAACUCCGUGCCAGCAGCCGCGGUAAUACGGAGGGUGCAAGCGUUAUCCGGAUUUACUGGGUUUAAAGGGUGCGUAGGUGGGUAGGUAAGUCAGUGGUGAAAUCUUCAAGCUUAACUUGGAAACUGCCAUUGAUACUAUUUAUCUUGAAUACUUUGGAGGUAAGCGGAAUAUGUCAUGUAGCGGUGAAAUGCUUAGAUAUGACAUAGAACACCAAUUGCGAAGGCAGCUUACUACACAGUUAUUGACACUGAGGCACGAAAGCGU
rnacentral:rRNA from 1 species